rnacentral:misc_RNA from 1 species
AAUUAUCAAGGUCCUCUCCUUUUCCUGGUCUGGAUUUUUGGAUUUAUGGGGGAAUUGCUGAUUUGAAAACCAAUUAGCUCCUCUGAAAUACAUUAGCAAUAAGGCUUCUGCUGCCAAUUUGUGGUGUGAUACAUUUUUAUUUACACUAUUUUAAAAAGGCAGUUAAUCAGUUCUUGUGGCUUCUAAUUGUCUGUUUGGACAGUGUUUUAACA